rnacentral:rRNA from 1 species
CCUACGGGAGGCAGCAGUGGGGAAUUUUUGGACAAUGGGCGAAAGCCUGAUCCAGCAAUGCCGCGUGCAGGAAGAAGGCCUUCGGGUUGUAAACUGCUUUUGUACGGAACGAAACGGGUUCGCUUUAAUACAGUGGGCUAAUGACGGUACCGUAAGAAUAAGCACCGGCUAACUACGUGCCAGCAGCCGCGGUAAUACGUAGGGUGCGAGCGUUAAUCGGAAUUACUGGGCGUAAAGCGUGCGCAGGCGGUUAUAUAAGACAGUUGUGAAACUCCCCGGGCUCAACCUGGGAAUUGCAUCUGUGACUGUAUAGCUAGAGUACGGUAGAGGGGGAUGGAAUUCCGCGUGUAGCAGUGAAAUGCGUAGAUAUGCGGAGGAACACCGAUGGCGAAGGCAAUCCCCUGGACCUGUACUGACGCUCAUGCACGAAAGCGUGGGGAGCAAACAGGAUUAGAUACCCUGGUAGUCCACGCCCUAAACCGAUGUCAACUGGUUGUUGGGUGCAUUAGUACUCAGUAACGAAGCUAACGCGUGAAGUUGAACCGCCUGGGGAGUACGGCCGCAAGUUGAAACUCAAAGGAAUUAGACGGCGNGAGAGNGCGAGACGACACGAGGGAGGAGG